rnacentral:rRNA from 1 species
AGUGAACGCUGGCGGUAUGCCUAACACAUGCAAGUCGAACGGCAACACAGUAAGUGCUUGCUCUUACGGGUGGCGGGUGGCGGACGUGUGAGGAAUACAUCGUACUCUACUUUUUCGUGGGGGAUAACGUAGGGAAACUUACGAUAAUACCGCAUACGACCUACGGGUGAAAGCAGGGGAUCUUCGGACCUUGCGCGAUAGCAUGAGCCGAUGUCGUAUUAGCUAGUGGGCGGGGUAAAGGCCCACCACGGCGACGAUCCGUAGCUGGUCUGAGAGGAGGAUCAGCCAAACUGGAACGGAGACACGGUCCAGACUCCUAGGGGAGGCAGCAGUGGGGAAUAUUGGACAAUGGGCGAAAGCCUGAUGCAGCCAUACCGCGUGGGUGAAGAAGGCCUUCGGGUUGUAAAGCCCUUUUGUUGGGAAAGAAAAGCAGCAGGUUAAUACCCCGCUGUUCUGACGGUACCCAAAGAAUAAGCACCGGCUAACUUCGUG